rnacentral:rRNA from 1 species
UACGUAGGGGGCAAGCGUUGUCCGGAUUUAUUGGGCGUAAAGAGCGUGUAGGCGGCUGGGUAGGUCCGUUGUGAAAACUCGAGGCUCAACCUCGAGACGCCGAUGGAAACCCUCCAGCUAGAGUCCGGAAGAGGAGAGUGGAAUUCCUGGUGUAGCGGUGAAAUGCGCAGAUAUCAGGAAGAACACCCGUGGCUAAGGCGGCUCUCUAGUCCGGUACUGACGCUGAGACGCGAAAGCGUGGGGAGCGAACAGG